CCUGUUGCAAUGCUCCACUCUGCUCACUUUCACCUCCUGCCAAUAGAAAUCCAGGAGAAACGUUAGACAUUUCUGCUUUCUAACAGCCAGAAACACGAGAGCAGACCAAAAGGGACCCACCGCUGUGACGGCCGGUUUGUGCAGACAGUUGAGGUACGGUUUCGGCUCUUGCUCAAUCUCUCCUUGGAAUGUUUUGUAACAAAUGGCGCAGUCGAUCAUGGGCUGCACGGGAGCAAACAAAAACAAACCGUUUUCAGGCCGCUUUCUGACCGUCUCUUCAGGAUGUGCCAUUUUGUGGGCUGUCUGAUUUACGUGCCUCCACUUCAACAGCGUCUUCUCCCCACCAUCUUUGCUGUAGUUAUAACGCCUAUAAUGAGUUUACUGACAAUUUAAAUUAAUUUCAAACUUUAUGCUAUUUUGUUUUAAAAAUGGCAACAGUGGAGGAUGCAUGUCCAUGUACGAGCCAGUCUGCCCCACAACAAGAGGAAAGAGAAAAAUACGGAGCUUAUUGACUACAAGUGGCGGGCACACGCAAAGCACUCUGGGUGAUGCUGAUGAGGAGGUGUUCCAGGAGGAAACUCACAGCCUGGGCAGCUACACGGGCAUGUGCAUCUCAGAGUACUCGUCGUGACACUCGCGCUCGUCGAACGUGGGCUCCACGUCGUCCGCAUCCAGCUGCAAGGACAGAAACGACAUGGAUAUGUGGUCAUGUGCUAUCUGGACGGAGGAACGACUUGCGGCGGCGGCACGCUCACGCAAAGCAUCUCCCGCCCGUUGAAGAUCCGCGGCAGCAGGAACAUCUUGACGGGCACGGUGAGGAUGAGCACGAAGGGGAAGGCCAGCGACGCCUGCGUGGACAUGACGGCCCACAGCGCGGCCAGACACACCACCUGGAUGCAGGUGAAAAGGUGCAUGCGCAGCGUUCGCACCUGGAUGCAAAAUCAACAAAAUGAUGGAUCAAUAUAUUGAUAAAUUAUUCAUUGUGUCUCUACUACAGAUUGACGGAUGUUUUUUUCAGGGUCGAUACUAUUAUUAGUAGUCAAGGAGGUCCAAUAACCGAUUUUUGAAGUCGAUAUUAAUUUCCAAUAAAAAUGAUUUAAACAUGAAUAAUAUAUAUCAAUAAAC